rnacentral:rRNA from 1 species
GCGCGAAAACUUUACAAUGCUGGCAACAGCGAUAAGGGAACCUCGAGUGCCAGGUUACAAAUCUGGCUGUCGAGAUGCCUAAAAAGCAUUUCAUAGCAAGGGCAGGGCAAGACCGGUGCCAGCCGCCGCGGUAACACCGGCGGCUCGAGUGGUAACCGUUAUUAUUGGGUCUAAAGGGUCUGUAGCCGGCCGGAUAAGUCUCUUGAGAAAUCUGGCAGCUUAACUGUCAGGCUUUCAGGAGAUACUGUCUGGCUCGAGGCCGGGAGAGGUGAGAGGUACUUCAGGGGUAGGGGUGAAAUCUUGUAAACCUUGAAGGACCACCAGUGGCGAAGGCGUCUCACCAGAACGGACCUGACGGCAAGGGACGAAAGCUAGGGGCACGAACCG